AUUGAACGCUGGCGGCAUGCCUUACACAUGCAAGUCGAACGGCAGCACGGGUGCUUGCACCUGGUGGCGAGUGGCGAAAGGGUGAGUAAUACAUCGGAACGUACCCAGUCGUGGGGGAUAACGUAGCGAAAGCUACGCUAAUACCGCAUACGAUCUAAGGAUGAAAGCGGGGGAUCGCAAGACCUCGCGCGAUUGGAGCGGCCGAUGGCAGAUUAGGUAGUUGGUGGGGUAAAGGCUCACCAAGCCGACGAUCUGUAGCUGGUCUGAGAGGACGACCAGCCACACUGGGACUGAGACACGGCCCAGACUCCUACGGGAGGCAGCAGUGGGGAAUUUUGGACAAUGGGCGCAAGCCUGAUCCAGCCAUUCCGCGUGCAGGAUGAAGGCCCUCGGGUUGUAAACUGCUUUUGUACGGAACGAAAAGGCUCUGGUUAAUACCUGGGGCUCAUGACGGUACCGUAAGAAUAAGCACCGGCUAACUACGUGCCAGCCGCCGCAGUAA
rnacentral:rRNA from 1 species